rnacentral:lncRNA from 1 species
AGCUGACAAAAGAAGGUCUAACAUCUGCAGCAUUGCCAAGCUUAAUGCUUCUGAUAAUCUGUCACUAGAGCAAGAAUAGGUUGCAUGUCUAGUGAUAUAAUUUAGGAAAUUAGUUAUUUUUCUUGUUUUUGGAAUUGGGAUGAAUCUCAUCUUAGUAAUGUUUCACCCCAAAAUCAAUAUUUUGCAUAAAGAAAACCUAUUUUUAGGAGGCAGGUGUGUUCUUUAAGCGAAAUAUUACAUUGAUUUUGAUUUUAGGUUGAAGCAUAACUAGAUUUCAUGAGAUUCACCUAGUAAUCAUGUUAGCUGUGGAAAAGGCCAGAUUGUCUUACAUAAAGUUCAAUGAAGUACCAUUUAAUUUCACCUCUAAAGGGCUGGAAGUUGCUGUAUUUACCACAUAUCAUGUGAUUAUUUUGCCAUUUGAAAUUGGAGACAGGCCUGGGCAGCGAAGCUGAUCUGAUCAUGCAUCAUUUUGUUGUUUCGUCUAAAGGACGUUAUUGGUUUACACUGAUCAGGUCUCAAAAGAGCUUUUACGGAAGAGCUCUGAACUUUGACUGUACUCUAUACGCUGUGUUGACACUGGAGUAAAGAUUGUUCAUUUUAAAUAUAUAUAAUAUAUAUAUAUAUUUGUGUUGGUGUAAUCUCAAGGAAAAAAAAUAGUACUGGCUCAUAUUUAACACCAAUAUAUUACAGAAUAAAAAUGUGCCUAAUUAAUUACAGUGCAAAACAUAGCUUUCAGUUUCUGUAAACAAACUAUCAUUUCUAUUUUGUCAGAUUUUUUUGGGUGAAAUAUGACCCAGACGUGUAUUUAAAAGAUGUCACCCAGGUGAAUAACUGCUGAGUUGUGCUGGUUAUCUACAAACAGAGAUCUGUAAUGCGUAAAUUAUUUUUGGUUAUUUUGGUCAGGUUAUUUUUGUCAUGAAGGAGUGCGAGUGAGAGUUGAGAAGUGUGAGGCAUGAUCUUGAUUAUGUGCCUUGUGAUGAUUGACAUGUCAGAAACCCGUCCGCUCUCCAGAUAUGAGGGACACCGGUGGAAUGUGCCGAGAGUACUGAUACUUCAUAUGCAAAACAGUUCCUCCUCCUCCUCAUUUCCCAUGAUAAAUGAAAAUCUCAAGGCUUAUGCGAGACUCGGUACAGUACCAGAGAGGUGAAUAUAUCUAUCUCUGUGUUUGUUGCUGCAGUGGAGGUGACCACUAAAUGUUCAAUGCAACUCCAUACUCUCGAUCAGCAGCCCUCAGAUGUGUCAUCCAGAGGGCGUUACCUUCUGCCUUUGCUUUGCGACCCGUGAACAUAUGCUAACCUCGACUUGUGUGCGUAUACAUGUGUUUGUGAACAUACAUGUAUGCAAGAAUAUGUGUGUGCUCACGUUUAUAUAAACUAAAGAUACAAUAUAUUUGAAAGCAUAUGUUGAGAUGUUUUCUUUAAGUGUGUUUUCUUAUUUAUGAGGUUCAAGAUAUUGCUGCUAUUUGUGUUUAAAAUUAGGAGCAUCUGUCAAAUCUGUUCACGCUUGUUAUUUUUCUAUCAGACAUAUAUAAGAAUUAGUUCUCCCAAAAAUGAAAGUGCACUCAUCCUCAAGCCAUCCUAGAUGUAGAUGAGUUUAUUUCUUCAUGGGAACAGAUUUGGAGGAAUGUGUCAUCGCAUCACUUGCUCACCAGUGGAUGCUCUGCAGUGAAUGGGUGCCGUCAGAAUGAGAGUCCAAACAGCUGAUAAAAUCAUCACAAUAAUCCACAAGUAAUCCACACCACUCCAGUCCAUCAGUUAAUGUCUUGUGAAGCAAAAAGUUGCAUGUUUUUAAGAAACAAAUGCAUCUUUAAAGCAUUUUAACUAUAAACCAUCACUUCGAGUCAAAAUAUGAGUCCCUAAUCCGUAAUAACACUUCCUCUAGUUAAAAACUCCAUCCCCUGUUGUCCUCUUCCAUCAAAUUCCACUGAUAUAUUUGUUUAGAACUGUUCUGAACUUUCACUUGAUCUGCUUGAUCUGUGCAUAUUUCUCUCCUGAAUCAGAUGAGACAGGGUUUUGUUUGUUUUUUUAACUAGAAAAAGCGAAAAUUACAGACUCAUAUUUUAGCCAGAAGGAUGGAUUUGUUUUAACUGAUGGACUGGAGUGGUGUGGAUUACUGUGAUGUUUUUAUCAGCUGUUUGGACUCUCAUUCUGACGGCACCCAUUCACUGCAGAGGAUCCAUUGUUGAACAGGUGAUGUAAUGCAAAAUUUCUCCAAAUCCGUUCCAAUGAAGAAACAAAGUCCUCUACGUCUUGGAUAGACUGAGGAUGUGUGAAUUUUUUUAAUUUUGGGUGAACUAUUCCAUGAAGGCUUUUCUGUUAUUUUUUCUUAGUUUUUUUUGUUUUUGUUUUUUGUUCGUCACAUUGCUGCCAAAUGUUGUAAAUAUUAAUAUUCUCGAAGACAAACUUGAGAGUGCUGAUGCAGUCAAAGUUACUGAAUAUACAGUGGCCAUGAUCUGACUAGACUCCAAAGAGUUGCUUUGCUGUGAAAGUUGAUCUCACUGGGAGGAGAGGAUGUUCCUUACAAUUUAAAAUCUCAUGGCAUCUCCACACACACACACACACACACACACACAUAUAUAUAUAUAGCAAACUACUCCUUUGUGUUGCCAUGGUGUUUGUGUAAAUACCUACCAAAAUUACAAUUUUCAAUGUUGACCAAAAAUCUAAUCCAGCUUCUCUGCUUCAUAUAUUUUUAUUUUCUAGGAGCAGUUGUGUGGUUUUUGCAUUAUAUGCUUCAUUUUAUUAUCAAUAUUUUUUGUAGUUGGCAUUGUUCUUUAUUUUGGACAUUUUGUUUCUUUAAAAAGGACCAAAAUUAGACAGAUGCUGGUGUAAAUGUGGCUCACACUCUCAGAUUUGUCCUUAUUGCCAGUGUAAUGAUAUAUAUAUUUAUACAUUGAAGUAUAUAUAUAUAUAUAUAUAUAUAAUAUAAAAUUUACCUUUCCUUUACAAAUGGAUACUUAUAUUGUUUGAAAAGAAAGGGCGCAUUUUGAGAUGAAUGGGUUGUGUAUAUAUUAUCUCUGAACAUGAAACAUUUUCUGGUGAGUCAUCUGCUUGAUGGUCAGUUGUAGAGGGAAAGUCGACCUGAAGAAUCUCUGAAAUCACUGGCCAUCUCCGUGUACUGUUCAUCCUCUGAUUUCUCUUGCACAAAAGGCAGCAUGAUAUCGUGUUUACAAACUUGAAACAUCCAUCUACAUUAUAUUUUGGCUCUUUUUCUUUAAUCCUGCUAGUCAGAUGUUUAUAAAGGAACAAAUCACAAGUAUUUACUCUCUUUUAUUGAUUAUUAUGAAAGCAAGAUUUUUUUUUAUUCUAUUUUUUUUCUUUUGCAUAGCUGUACUACCAUUAAAAAAAAAAAAAACUAACUUAGAAAAGGGUUGGUUUUGGGAAUGAUUCCUUUGUGGGGUUGCAGGCUUUCUCAUCACAGCCGACUUAUUGUACAGUUUUAUUAUUCAGACUUUCACAUGAAUGUUUGUCUUUAUCUGCUGCCACCCAACAGUUAAGAAAACAUGUUUAUAGACAUAACUGUGCAAUGGAAAAUAAAUGUAACAAAGAUUUAUUUACAGCCGUUUUGAUUCCACUACUUUUUUUUCUUUUGCAUACUUUGGCCACUAGAUGUCACGGUUUUACAACUUGAACUCUCAAUUCGAAAGAAAUAAUAACCUUUUUGCCAUUUAAAAUAAAUAUAAAAUAGAAAGUAAAUGUAUAAUCUGUAUAAAAACCAUAUGCACACACACACACAUAUAUAUAAAUUUACAAAAAUAUAUGUUUCUAUAAUAUACAUAAUAUAUGUUUUAAUAGAAGCCUAAUCAAAGCAGAGAGAGUUGCAUUGAAGGUUUUAUAUAGCAAUAAAUCACUGAUUUUACAAAUUAGAUUUAUAAUUUUAUUAUGAAAGGAUCAGUAUAUAAUAUGUAACGUUAUUUAUGCAAUGUUUCCAGUUCUUAUUUGACCUUUUAGAUAGCUAUAUUAAAUAAACAGAUAUAUGAAAUAAAUGUAUAAUAUGAAUAGAAACCAGAAACAUUGCAUUUAUAUCACCUCUACGCUCUAAUUAGGUGUCUAUAAAAAUGUUAAAUAAAUAAUAUAAAAAUAAAUAUAUAUAAUAUGCCUAAUCAAAGCAAACAAGUGUCAGAAUUUAUUUAAAGCUAACAUUAAAUAUCAAUUAAUCAUUGAUUUAACAAUUAUGUAAUAACAAUUAUGCUAUUUCUCUCUACAAAAUUGUCACCAUAACCCUUAUUUUUAUUUAUCCGAGUCCAAAUUUACUAUUUAUAGACAAGGUAUUUUUAAACAAUAUAAUUUGUGUGUAAAUUGCAGCUAAAACUGCAAAUAAUAAUAAUAAUUGUGCAUGUGUGUUCUUUAAUAUUAGGUGAUUUGGGCGACUUAGAAUGCCUUACAAAUUAAAAAGAAAAAAAGCCAUUAAAAAAAAAUACUUUUUUUGUUUUUUAGUCAUUUAAACUUCCACCUCUGUGGUAAUGACUGCAGACAAACAGCGCUGCAGUUCCUCAUAAGGCCUGCAGGGGACUCUAAAAUCAAACAGCAGCCACGAAAGCGCAUCAGAAUGAAGGGCAGGGAAACUUCAAUUUGGCGUCUGGCGCUCAGUUGAAUUACUUAGACUCGCUCAGUCUGUCUGGUUCGCAGCACAGCAGAAGCUGCAUCUUCUUUGUAUUCCUGUUCCCCUGUUUAUUUAAGGAUCGGAUCAAUGGAAAUAAACCGAGCCGCGGAAGAAAGCGACACUGGAUACAAGCGGCUGGCGUCCUGUGACGGUCUGAUGCUGUGAGGAUUAAAGAGGAAACUUACACGCUGCGAGACUGGAUAUGUGACGAAAGAUACACUUUUACUAGGGGAUUAUCAUAUGCUGAACCUUGUAUCAUUUCAGAUUCGAUAUGACACGACAGGUUAUUAAAGUAUUAAGGUAAAUAUGAUGCACUUUAAACUUUGUUCACAUGUUUGC